rnacentral:rRNA from 1 species
CACGUAGGGGCAAGCGUUGUCCGGAUUUAUUGGGCGUAAAGAGCUCGUAGGCGGCUUAGUAAGUCGGGUGUGAAACCUCCAGGCUCAACCUGGAGACGCCACCCGAUACUGCUGUGGCUAGAGUCCGGUAGGGGAGCGUGGAAUUCCUGGUGUAGCGGUGAAAUGCGUAGAUAUCUGGAAGAACACCAAUGGCGAAGGCACCAUCCUGGGAAGCAUCUGACGCUCAGGUGCGAAAGCUAGGGGAGCGAACGGG